rnacentral:rRNA from 1 species
UGGGGAAUUUUGGACAAUGGGCGCAAGCCUGAUCCAGCCAUUCCGCGUGAGUGAAGAAGGCCUUCGGGUUGUAAAGCUCUUUCGCAAGGGAAGAAACGAUAUAGACGAAUAAUCUAUGUUAAUGACGGUACCUUGAUAAGAAGCACCGGCUAACUACGUGCCAGCAGCCGCGGUAAUACGUAGGGUGCGAGCGUUAAUCGGAAUUACUGGGCGUAAAGCGUGCGCAGGCGGUUUGUAAGUCAGAUGUGAAAUCCCCGGGCUCAACCUGGGAACUGCGUUUGAAACUACAAGGCUAGAGUAUAGGAGAGGGGGGUAGAAUUCCACGUGUAGCAGUGAAAUGCGUAGAGAUGUGGAGGAAUACCAAUGGCGAAGGCAGCCCCCUGGCCUAAUACUGACGCUCAUGCACGAAAGCGUGGGGAGCAAACAGGAUUAGAUACCCUGGUAGUCCACGCCCUAAACGAUGUCUACUAGUUGUUGGUGGAGUAAAAUCCAUUAGUAACG